AGUGAGUGGCGGACGGGUGAGUAACACGUGGGUAACCUGCCCAGAAGCAGGGGAUAACACCUGGAAACAGAUGCUAAUACCGUAUAACAGAGAAAACCGCCUGGUUUUCUUUUAAAAGAUGGCUCUGCUAUCACUUCUGGAUGGACCCGCGGCGCAUUAGCUAGUUGGUGAGGUAACGGCUCACCAAGGCGAUGAUGCGUAGCCGACCUGAGAGGGUAAUCGGCCACAUUGGGACUGAGACACGGCCCAGACUCCUACGGGAGGCAGCAGUAGGGAAUCUUCCACAAUGGACGCAAGUCUGAUGGAGCAACGCCGCGUGAGUGAAGAAGGGUUUCGGCUCGUAAAGCUCUGUUGUUAAAGAAGAACGUGGGUGAGAGUAACUGUUCACCCAGUGACGGUAUUUAACCAGAAAGCCACGGCUAACUACGUGCCAGCAGCCGCGGUAAUACGUAGGUGGCAAGCGUUAUCCGGAUUUAUUGGGCGUAAAGCGAGCGCAGGCGGUCUUUUAAGUCUAAUGUGAAAGCCUUCGGCUCAACCGAAGAAGUGCAUUGGAAACUGGGAGACUUGAGUGCAGAAGAGGACAGUGGAACUCCAUGUGUAGCGGUGAAAUGCGUAGAUAUAUGGAAGAACACCAGUGGCGAAGGCGGCUGUCUGGUCUGUAACUGACGCUGAGGCUCGAAAGCAUGGGUAGCGAACAGGAUUAGAUACCCUGGUAGUCCAUGCCGUAAACGAUGAUUACUAAGUGUUGGAGGGUUUCCGCCCUUCAGUGCUGCAGCUAACGCAUUAAGUAAUCCGCCUGGGGAGUACGACCGCAAGGUUGAAACUCAAAAGAAUUGACGGGGGCCCGCACAAGCGGUGGAGCAUGUGGUUUAAUUCGAAGCUACGCGAAGAACCUUACCAGGUCUUGACAUCUUCUGCCAACCUAAGAGAUUAGGCGUUCCCUUCGGGGACAGAAUGACAGGUGGUGCAUGGUUGUCGUCAGCUCGUGUCGUGAGAUGUUGGGUUAAGUCCCGCAACGAGCGCAACCCUUAUUACUAGUUGCCAGCAUUCAGUUGGGCACUCUAGUGAGACUGCCGGUGACAAACCGGAGGAAGGUGGGGACGACGUCAAAUCAUCAUGCCCCUUAUGACCUGGGCUACACACGUGCUACAAUGGAUGGUACAACGAGUCGCGAAACCGCGAGGUUUAGCUAAUCUCUUAAAACCAUUCUCAGUUCGGACUGUAGGCUGCAACUCGCCUACACGAAGUCGGAAUCGCUAGUAAUCGCGGAUCAGCAUGCCGCGGUGAAUACGUUCCCGGGCCUUGUACACACCGCCCGUCACACCAUGAGAGUUUGUAACACCCAAAGCCGGUGGGGUAACCUUUUAGGAGCUAGCC
rnacentral:rRNA from 1 species